rnacentral:tRNA from 1 species
CCCGCCUUAGCUCAGCUGGCAGAGCGCGGGCCUGUAGUUUGCCUUGCUCCCUGCAAGGGGGCAGAGAGCCCGUGGUCCCCGGUUCAAAUCCGGGAGGCGGGA